GUCUAAAAGUAUGAUAGUAUCUGAUUUAUUAAUUUUAUGGUUUGAAUGCAUGUAUUGCUACCUUACGUGACCAUCGUUUAGUUGAAAAAUUGAGAUAUGAUUGUAUUCUCUGAUGCAUGUUUAUUUGCUUAUGUGAUUAUGGUUGAUUUAGAAAAUGAAGACUAACAGAAAACGAAAAAGUUGUAUGGAAAAGUGAAUAGAUGAAGACGACAGCCUUACUAAUAUCCUAAGAGAUGGUGGACGGACCGUGUACAUAGAAAAUCCUAUCGUGAACAUUGUCUCAUAUCGAAUGGGGUAUGUAGACUUGAUAAUUUGGCAGAUGGCUCGCUUUAUUCUCAUACCGGAUGAGAUAUUGAGAUUUGAUAGUUUGAUGCUCAUACCAGAUAGGGUAUGAGGACGGUCCGUAAUUGAGAUUGUUAAAGAAAAUGGUUCGCGUGUAGUGAGGACAUCCCU
rnacentral:lncRNA from 1 species